rnacentral:rRNA from 1 species
CUAGCUAACUGAAAUCACAAAAUCACAAAAUGUGCUAUAAGUGAUAACGUAAGGGAAAAAAAUGAUAUUACCUUACUAUAAGUGUAAGUCUAAAUAACUGGUGCCAGAAAGACUCGGUAACACCAGAAACGCGAACGUGUAGUCUGUCUUAAACAUGCGUAAAGGGUAAGUACGCUGCUUUAAAUUCUAUUUUAUUCUAAAAAGCUAAUUAAUAAAAUCCCUCUAUUGCAAAGCAACAGCCUACUUCAAUAAGCAAGCGAGGUCAAUCGCUAAAAUUCAAGCGCUGACGCUAAAGCAAUAGCUUUUAUUCUAUUUCUUAGAAUAAAAUAAGAAAAGCAAGAGGGCCUUUUCUAUAAAAAUUCUAAAUUUACUAGCCCUUUUAAAUUUUUAUUUUUAUUGUUUGUGUUAACAACUAAAGCUUGUUAAGAAUAAAAAAGCAGCUUUCAAUAUUGAAAGCUGGAGUUUAAAUUAAAAAUUUAAGGCUAAGUUAAUUGAAAAUAGGGAAUUAUUAUUUCGAAUUGCAGAACUAAUAAUAAUUAAUUAUUAAUGGUUGUCCCUUAGCUGCUGCGCAAGCAGUCCCUUCGGAUCAGGCAAGCACAAAAAUAGAUACACUUAAAGCUAGAAUCAUAAUUGAGAUAAACCAAAUAAUACUUAUGUGUAAGGGCGAUAUCUGCAAAUACUAAGUAGAAUACUAACGGUGAAAACUUUUUAUCUGGUAAUGAUUGACGCUGAGGUACGAAAGUGACGAACAGGGCAUAGGAUUAGAUACCCAGUUACGCUCUCACCGUCAACGAUGAAUGGUAGUUGUUAGUUUAAUUUAAUUAGUGACGAUGUUAACGCGAUNACCAUUCCGCCUUGAGAGUACGGUUGCAAAACUGAAACCAAAAAAAUUAGUCGGUCUCGGAGCAAACGGAG